UCUCUUUUCUCUCUCUCAACUCUGAACUUGCCCUCUCUCUCUCUCUCUCUCUCCAAUUGCAAACUACAAAAUCUACAAGAAUCAAAAGUUCAAAACCCAUAUAUUUCAGUUUAUCUAUCUGUCUGCAAGAAUCAAAAGUUCAAAACCCAUAUAUUUCAGUUUAUCUAUCAGUCUGCAAGAAUCAAAAGUUCAAAACCUAUUACCUAUAUCAAAACCCAUAUCGGCAUAUCAUUUGAGAUUGUUCAAAAAAUCAAAAUCCAUAUCUUUCAGUUUCCAUCGCCCGCUGUUCCAGUUCGGGUUCGCCGUUCGCAAGCUUCAGCCGCUGUCUCUCAACUCUCAAGCUUGCCCCUCUCUCUCUCUCUGCAACUGCUAACUUGUAUGUAUGGAUUUUCUCUCUCUGCAACUGCUAACUUGGUUAGCAUUAAGCCUUAACAUUUAGCAAGAACAAGGUUCAAGAAACAUGCCUCCUCAGUCAUCAGGUCUCUUUUAUGAAAGAAGAGAGUUGAUGGGAAUGGGUGGAGUUGGCAAAAAGGUAUGUUUUUUUUGCCUAACUAAUUGAAUUAUAUAAAUUCCCUUACCGUUGUAGCAGUGAUGUUGGUUUUAAAAUGACCAAUUAUGAUAGGAAGUCUCUUUUCAGUUUAUCUUAACCAAAUGUAUAUCUAUACAAGAGGAUUACGUGAUUCUAGAUGAUGAUUCUAGAUAAGGAUGUUAAUGUCAACGUUACAAAGAUGUUGAUGUCAACGCUGACUCUAGUGAUAACGGUUGAUGAUGUUGAUAAUAUGUUGAUACACUCAAAGUAAGUCAAAGCACUUAGAAUUGAAGGAGAUUUAGAGUUGAAAACAUAUUAUUGAGCAUCGCAUCUAAUUCUUUUAGUUGCAAAAAUCUUUGUUCACUUCACACAUGAUUUUUUAGUUCUUAAACUUCUGAAACAAUAGUGUGUAAUAUGAUUCAUCUACUUAGGCUUUCUUCUUUUUCAUCUCUCUAAACCCUAAUUUUAUCUGUGAAAUUGAAAAAGAAGACACUAUGCAAUUUUAAUUUAACUUUAUCAGUUUGAGCAUUGACAGAGCUUUUGAAAUGUUGAAACUGAAACAACAAAGAAGAGAGAGUCCACCAAUAAGAAUUACCCAACUUAGGACAAAAUAAUCUCUCUAUGCGUCUUGACUAAUAUUGGCAUGGGAGACUUCUAUAGAUAUGAACUUGUAGAGAGAAAGAUAUAUGGUUGGGGGCACAAAAGUGUACAACAACGAUAAAGUUGUGAGCGUUUGGCUUGUUUCAUGUAUCGGAUCUAGGAAGUGUACAACAAUGAACUGGAAAGCUUUGAUGCACUCAAAGUUACAGAUAGAGACAAUAAUUAAUAUUAUAUAUUUAUAACUUACUUUACUAAUCUAAUAUGAUACUACAUAUAUCAUACAUAUAUACAUAUAUAUAUAUAUGUUUGUAACUUUAUACUUAGAUAUAUUUUGAUUUAGCCCACCCCAUUGAGAAAUCAUGGAUCCGCCUUGGUUCAAUGUUCAGGCCUACCUUUCUUUUAUGUCAGCGCAGCUUAGGGAACAAUAAUAAGGACGAAGAAGGUUUGAAAUUAACUGAAAAUUCCAAGGGUAAAGAUGACCAUAUCUAGCUUCAAUAGAACCCUCCCCAGUCCCAGUUGCAGAAGUCGUCCAUUUUCCAGUUGUAGAAGUCGUCCCUUCUCCACCAUCUGAAACUUCUACUAAAACUGAAGGAGAGAAAAACUCCUCAGAUUCCUAGUCUGAAGGCGAAAGAACCAAGUCAGACUAUAAGGCUAAUUAUGAAGAUUUCCGGAAGGAUAGAGAAGUAAUAUGAAUUUUUUUUCUGGUUGCUGGUAGUGGGACUUGGUUCAUUGGGUUUACAAAUUGGAGUAUGGAUGACAUCUUAUUAUAGUGAAAAGGAUCAGAAUGCGAAAAUGAAUCUUCUGAUGAAGGAGUCCCUUCAAAAACAAGGACACGAUGAUUGACAUCUACAAGGAAAUUGAGGUUUAUAUUGUUAAUCUAUACUUUAAUGGAAAUGUAUGCUUAAAUGAGUAUGUGUUACCAACAGGCCUAUGGCUUAGCGGUACCAGACUCUUACUUUCCAAAGGGAGGUCAGAGGCUCGAACUUCAGUGGAAACAUGUGUGUGUGAAUACCAACUAGGGGAAAGAAAAAAGAAAAAAGUGUAUAUGUUAUUUUUGAUUCUUCUUUUCUUUUCAGCAGUAAGAAGGAGGUCGUUGUUCCGUAGAAUUUUUGGCUUAAGGUAUUGUUUGCUAUCUCUAUUUAUUUAUGAUUGUUCAAAAAUCUGGGCGUUGACAGCUUAUGUGAAACUAAUGGUAUGUAUUUCUUUUGGCCUGAAAUAUAUCUUGAACCAUUUUAUAAA